AUGAUGCGCAAGAACAAGGAGCAGAGGAGGGCAGAUGGAAUCACCGAUAGAGGCAGUGAUUCGCUGGAGACCAUGCGGCCGAACAAGAAGCAGAGGCUGGACGGUGGCAGCGGUAGCGAUGAGGAGACCUCGCCCUACCUGGUGAUAGGUCAUGGGAGCGUGAGCCCUGCCUUCUCCGUGUUCAAGGUGGAACCCUACACCGACGGCGGCGGCGACACCCCGGACCGCCGGUGGAUCGUCGGCGUCGGCGGCAGCUCAACCGAGAACUACUACGGCCCGGGGACCAUCAUUUUCGACACCGAGAAGCAGGUGGUGAUCCGGGGGCCGGAACCUAAGUCGAUCAAGAGCCACCCGAUCCUGCUGCCCAUCGACCAGAAGAUCUACGCCCUUUCCCGAAGCCCCUCAGUGAAGGGACCGCUCGAUUACUUGCCCUGGUUCGAGGUCCUCGAUCUCUCCCAGGCACAGGAAGUUGACGGCUGUCUAACCAACUGCAAGUGGAGCUCCCUGCAGCGGCCGCCCUUCUUUCCCUGGGAGCUCACCCCACGGCAGUACUUAUGUCCACCGAGGGUUGCCGUCAAGUCAUACGUCGCCGUGGGCUCCCACAUACUGGUUUCUGUGACCGGAUGGGUGGGCACGUACGCUUUUGACACGAAGGGCUCGAAGAAGUGGGUGACGGUGGAUGACGAGAACAACCUGCCGUUCAGCGAUGGUGCCAUCCCGCACGGAGGUGGGCUCUUCCUCGGCUUAUCAGGCACCACAAAGGCCAUCAAUGGAUACAAGAUUAAUAUCGGCACUAGGUCACUCUCUGUUGUUGAGAUUCCUGUGGUGUCCGACUUGGAAGAUGAAGAGCUGGUCGGUCGCUCACACAAUUUCCUUUCCCUGGGGAUUGAUAGUGGUUUCUGCUUGGUGACCUGUUGGAGUGUUGACGAAUCGCCGUAUCCCCCGUAUCACCGGGCGCACAUCAGGGCGAGGACGUACAGAACAGAUGAUUUUGUGGAGUCGGAGGGAAAAUGCUUAGUCGUCUCCAAGCAGUGGAUGCAGGUUUACAAGAUCCACGAUUUGAUCCGGACACUAGAUGCGCCAUGUCUGGUUGGUGUGGUCUACAUAUGA
rnacentral:rRNA from 1 species